CCUACGGGUGGCAGCAGUAGGGAAUAUUGCUCAAUGGGGGAAACCCUGAAGCAGCAACGCCGCGUGGAGGAUGAAGGUUUUCGGAUCGUAAACUCCUUUUGUUAGAGAAGAUAAUGACGGUAUCUAACGAAUAAGCACCGGCUAACUCCGUGCCAGCAGCCGCGGUAAUACGGAGGGUGCAAGCGUUACUCGGAAUCACUGGGCGUAAAGAGUGCGUAGGCGGGUUAGCAAGUCAGAUGUGAAAUCCUAUGGCUUAACCAUAGAACUGCAUUUGAAACUGUUAUUCUAGAGUAUGGGAGAGGUAGGUGGAAUUCGUGGUGUAGGGGUAAAAUCCGUAGAGAUCAAGAGGAAUACUCAUUGCGAAGGCGACCUGCUAGAACAUAACUGACGCUGAUGCGCGAAAGCGUGGGGAGCAAACAGGAUUAGAUACCCUUGUAGUC
rnacentral:rRNA from 1 species